rnacentral:rRNA from 1 species
CUCCUACGGGAGGCAGCAGUGGGGAAUCUUGCACAAUGGACGAAAGUCUGAUGCAGCAACGCCGCGUGGGGGAUGAAGCUUCUCGGAGUGUAAACCCCUUUCGACCCGGAAGAAUGCCCGCAAGGGUUUGACGGUACGGGUAGAAGAAGCCCGGCUAACUUCGUGCCAGCCGCCGCGGUAAUUC